rfam:Gossypium hirsutum cultivar TM-1 chromosome 10, whole genome shotgun sequence
UGUUAAAAUUUUUAUUAAUUUGUACUGUUAAAAACUAGCGUAACUAAUGAAAUAACUAGACAGUAAUAUGUGGCAUAUCGCAUGUAUACAUGUUGAUGUAUAGAGACCAAUUUUUAAUUGUGGAAAUGGAUUGAAUUUUUAACA